UUCUUACUGAGUGAGUUGAAACCCAAAUUGAAUUUUCAGAAUUAACCCCGUUAUUCUUCUUGUUCUUCUUCAUUGUUGUUUAUUGUUGAUGCCGGUUCUUUAGCUUGAAUUGAUGAACGUUGCUGCUUACUGACAAAUUUCAUUAUGAAAGCAGUUUUUUAUUUUAUUAUUAUUAUUUUUUGGGUUCAGCGUCGAAGGGUAGAAAUGGAAAAUAGAAAAGAAAGCUUUUGUAUUUUGUUUUUUAAUAGAGAUAAAAUUGGUCGACCAAAAAAACUUUUGGUCAGUUCAAUAGGCUAAAUACUACAAUUCUUACAUUUUCCUUAAAAGUUCAGAUCAAAUGGUUCUUUCAACAUACUGAUGCAAUCUUCCCGUAAGCUCCGUUUCUCUUUCUAUAAAGUGUAUAUGAUUGCAUAUAUUGCUGAAUAUAAUCGAAUCUGGUUCGGUUUCUUGUGGUUUGCUGAAUUUUUUUAAUUGCGUUUUUGGCUUUAUGAACCCCCAUUUUGGGAUGUAAGAUUAUCAAUUUGAUCUUCUGAUCGAGAAAUAAAUGAUCAGUUCUUGUCUUUACUGAAUCAGAUUUCUGAUCCCUGUCUGUAGUUCUUGUUUAAUUGCCAUGUUUAUUUCUCUGUAGUGUGAACAACAUUACCUUGUUCCAUAUUAUUUAUAUAAUUAUCUAUGUGCCGCGCGUGUUUUUUUAUAUACUGAGAUUUUGAAAACUGAUUAAAUCUUGUUUACCGAGUGUCUUUGAAUCUUUGAUAAUUAGAGGUUGAAGGUUCUUUCUAUCUGGCUUGUACUUGUAAAUCACAUUCAAUUAUUUAUUUGCUCAUGCUAAUCUUCUCUCCUCUCUCUGUUUUUGUGGUGUGCUUGUUUGGGGGAUGUUGACUUGCAUGUAACUAGUGGUAGUAUAAAAAAUUUAAAAUUUUGAGUAUUCAAUCGAAAAGGAAAAGGAAAAAGGUUAAAUGAUUUGCAUUCCUACUGUGAAGGGGUGAUGCAAUUCAAUGAGCUAUGGCUGUACUAUCUUGAAUUUUGUUGAGAGAGGAGGAAAAAUUGUUUUAGGGGGUAGGUUGGUGGGGUUGGCACAGAAAGGAAAGCAUGAAUAUCUUGAAUGGUAGAUAUUUAAGAUUAACACUUCAUCAUGCUAGUACUGAAGAAGGUUAAUAUUUUGUUUUUUUUUAUCAGAAAGUUAUAUAAUUCCUCCAUACACAAUAAAUUUCUGUCAUGAGCCAUCGUCCUAUGAUGAAAAAAAUACGUUCUUUAACAGAAGAAUUAUAGUACUAAGAUCCAACGAAUGGUCUGUUUGAUCCGAUUGCUAAAUGCAGUCAGACCUUGCAAAAUGCAAUCACACCACUACUUUUAUAGUAUAUAUCUUAAGAUUUGGAGAUAGAAAACAAAAAUUAAAAUUCUUGGGCAUUCCAAAUAAUGGUGCAUAAAAAAGUGAAGCUUUCGGUUGUCUAGUUAUGUCUGAUUCAUUAUGUGAGGCCUAAGUUUGAAAUGUCUCAUAAAUGGAUAUUUGUUACUCAGCAUUAGCAUAAAGAUUUAAUACUCGAAUGAAUUUAUAAAUUGUCUUUCAACCAUUCUAUGUACCUUGUUCAGUUGUUUGGUAACUAAAUUUGUACUUACCAUUACCUUCCUUCAGCAGAAUUACAAAUUACUGGGCUCUCAAGAACACCACCGUCAGUGUUGGAGUCUGAGAUCAUGGAAUCUCUUGGUAAGCCCAGAAGAAUUUGUGUCAGUCAAUAUUAGAUUUGAUUUAGCUCGUUUUCUUGUCUUGUUAGAAGUUAAAGUCCAGAUAACUUCACAAACUAAAAAGUUAAUGGAAAUUGUAUUUUGAAGAAUGGUCCAUCACAGAAAG
rnacentral:lncRNA from 1 species